rnacentral:rRNA from 1 species
UACGAAGGGGGCAAGCGUUGUUCGGAAUUACUGGGCGUAAAGGGCGCGCAGGCGGCCAAUCAAGUCAGAUGUGAAAGCCCCGGGCUCAACCUGGGAAUUGCAUUUGGGACUGAUUGGCUAGAGAUCGGGAGAGGAGAGUGGAAUUCCCAGUGUAGAGGUGAAAUUCGUAGAUAUUGGGAAGAACACCGGUGGCGAAGGCGGCUCACUGGCCCGGUACUGACGCUGAGGAGCGAAAGCGUGGGGAGCAAACAGG